rnacentral:misc_RNA from 1 species
GUGAAUCAUCGAAUCUUUGAACGCAAAUUGCGCUUUCUGGCAUCCCGGGAAGUAUGUCAGUUUGAGGGUCAGAAUAAAUAAAAUAUCGGUUUAGUUACAAAUUGUGACGUCUCCGGAGUUUGGGCUAUCUAAACAUUUUUGGUUAAGAGGCUUAAAAUUGACUUUUUUUGCGCAUUUUUAAAUGUACAUAAAUUUUUUUUAUUCGUUUAUGCUUAAUGCUAUUAUUUUAUUAUAAGCGACAUCAUC